rnacentral:miRNA from 1 species
UUUAGUAAUGGUAACGGUUCU